rnacentral:rRNA from 1 species
CAGCCGCCGCGGUAAUACAGAGGGUGCGAGCGUUAAUCGGAUUUACUGGGCGUAAAGCGUGCGUAGGCGGCUUCUUAAGUCGGAUGUGAAAUCCCUGAGCUUAACUUAGGAAUUGCAUUUGAUACUGGGAAGCUAGAGUAUGGGAGAGGAUGGUAGAAUUCCAGGUGUAGCGGUGAAAUGCGUAGAGAUCUGGAGGAAUACCGAUGGCGAAGGCAGCCAUCUGGCCUAAUACUGACGCUGAGGUACGAAAGCAUGGGGAGCAAACAGGAUUAGAUACCCCAGUAGUCCCUGUCUCUUAUAC